AAACAAACUGGGAUUAGAUACCCCACUAUGCCUAGCCGUAAACCUUAACUUACACCCAAAUCGCCAGGGAACUACGAGCGAAAGCUUAAAACCCAAAGGACUUGACGGUACCCCACAUCCACCUAGAGGAGCCUGUCCUAUAAUCGAUAAUCCCCGUUUAACCUCACCAUUUUUUGCUUUUCAGCCUGUAUACCUCCGUCGUCAGCUUACCACGUGAGCGCCCCUCAGUGAGCUAAAUGUCCUUCGUCAAAACGUCAGGUCAAGGUGCAGCAUACAAAAUGGGAAGAGAUGGGCUACACUCUCUAACAUAGAACACACGAAAGGCUACAUAUGAAACCCUAGCCUGAAGGCGGAUUUAGUAGUAAAAAGAGACAAGAGAGCUCUUUUUAACACGGCACUGGGGUGUGUACACACCGCCCGUCACCCUCUUCAAAGCCACAAAACAGUAUUUAACACCACAAAGCAACAAAGAAGAGGCAAGUCGUAACAUGGUAAGUAUACCGGAAGGUGUGCUUGGAAA
rnacentral:rRNA from 1 species